GUUGACCCCAGAUGACUUUUAAAAUGUAUACAUCAUUGAAAAAGUUCCAAAUUAUCUCCCUUUGGUGGAAAAAUGCCAUUUUUUGGCUUUAAAAUUGAAAUAUCUUUUUUAACUCAUCGGUGACCUAUAUUUUAAUAAUUUCCAUAUAAGCUGUACUUAAACUAAAUUAUUUUAAAAUUUGAGCAAUUUCUGUAAUAAAUUUCUUUCUUUUUUUUCGAUAUUACUUUUAUUUCUCCUAUUACUUUAAAAAAAAAAAAAACACCUUUACAAAAAUGUAUGCUUCUUUCGAAGGCAGAUUGUGAGCGCAAAUGAACGGUGACCCCACUUUUUUAUUUUAUUUUUCUGUUAAAUAUAAGAUAAAGUUCAUUUAUAGAAAAAUAUAGAGAAAUCCUAUAUAAAUGAUUUAGACCCGCGAACCCCCUUAA
rnacentral:lncRNA from 1 species